CAGACAAAAAUAGAGCUUAAAAUUGCAGGGGAAAAACACUCGGUUCUGUAAUAAUCUCUCAAUAAAAACCAUUCAUUCAUUCAUUCAAAAAAAAAAGAAAAAAAAGAAAUCAAACUCAAAAAACAUAUAAAUAAAUAAAAGUCAUAGAAACUUCUCUCUCCUCCCUCAUUUGGUGCUGAAUCUCUUUGGGUUGAAAUUGCAACAUCGGAUCAGACACAGACGCAGUCGCAGUCUCGGAGUUUGUGUCUCUCUCCCGGCGCCGGCACUUCUUGUCGUUGCUCAGAGAGGGAGACCCUAUCCACACCCCUCUUCCAUCUUCCAUCUUCCUCUUUCACUCUUUGAUUUUAUCUUUUAACAGGGGUUAUAUGGAGAAGUCAAACCUUUGACCUGAAAUUUUUGGUGUUAGGAUCACUAUCUCUUGUUCACUCUCUUGCUAGCAGUGCUCACAUCAGUUUUGGUUUUACUCUUAGAUGGCUACUGUUCGCUAAGUAUCACUGUGAGGUUGGGCAUCUCAUAUGAAUAAAAUAUCUCGUUAGCAUUUGUAAAGCUAGUUAUUCAUAAUGGGUGCUUGUCUAUCCACGCCAUCUCACACAAUCAAAUCACAGAGGAAAUUCCAUCGCCGGUCCGGAAAAAGAAGGCUUGGAAGGCUUUCUAAAUACAUUCCUGAUGGAACAAAGAAAACGAAUAGUAAUGCAGGAACUCAUAUAACAGAUUUUGCUGUUAGUGAGUUUGUACAAACAACAACCACCUGCAGAAGAUCUGAGGGUUCCAAUUCAACAAUCCAUGUCACCCAGUUGCAAUGGCACCAUAGUCAGGUUGAUUCUAAUGUAAUUUGCCAAGAGGAAGCAUGGUUUGAUUCACUUAGUAUUCUGGAGUCGGACUCAGAUGAUGACUUC